CACUCUGUGUGGGGAACAUGAGAGCCAGACCAAAGCUCAGAGCCCAGAGCUGUGGGGCGUACCAGGCUCAGCUGGACAUAACCCUGAAACUAAUCCAGAGCCUGGACCUGAACCCACCUGUGUUUCCUUGAAGAGCAACGACUCGAAGGAUAUUAUUGAAAACUUUAACAAAAGACUGUUAUGUGACAAAGAGAUCAAUAAGAGGCCAGAAUCUCCUGGACCUGAACCCAGCU